rnacentral:rRNA from 1 species
UCGAGAAUAAUUCACAAUGGGGGAAACCCUGAUGGUGCAACGCCGCGUGGAGGAUGAAGGUCUUCGGAUUGUAAACUCCUGUCAUCCGGGAGUAAGACCUGGCGGUAAAUAGCCGACAGGGUUGAUAGUACCGGAAGAGGAAGGGACGGCUAACUUCGGGCCAGCAGCCGCGGUAAUACGAAGGUCCCAAGCGUUGUUCGGAAUCACUGGGCGUAAAGGGGGCGUAGGCGGGUUGGUAAGUCAGAGGUG